rnacentral:rRNA from 1 species
AGAUUGAACGCUGGCGGCAGGCCUAACACAUGCAAGUCGAGCGGUAGAGAGGUGCUUGCAUCUCUUGAGAGCGGCGGACGGGUGAGUAAUGCCUAGGAAUCUGCCUAGUGGUGGGGGAUAACGUUCGGAAACGGACGCUAAUACCGCAUACGUCCUACGGGAGAAAGCGGGGGACCUUCGGGCCUCGCGCCAUUAGAUGAGCCUAGGUCGGAUUAGCUAGUUGGUGAGGUAAUGGCUCACCCAAGGCGACGAUCCGUAACUGGUCUGAGAGGAUGAUCAGUCACACUGGAACUGAGACACGGUCCAG